UGAUCCUGGCUCAGGACGAACGCUGGCGGCAUGCGUAAGACAUGCAAGUCGAACGAACAAAUUGGUGCUUGCACCAAUGAGUUAGUGGCGAACGGGUGAGUAACACGUAGGUAACCUACCUCAAAGACGGGGACAACAGUUGGAAACGACUGCUAAUACCGGAUAGGUAAUUGUUUCGCAUGAAACGAUUAUUAAAGGAGCUUUCAAGCUUCGCUUCGAGAUGGACCUGCGCCGUAUUAGCUAGUUGGUGAGGUAAUGGCUCACCAAGGCAACGAUGCGUAGCCGAGCUGAGAGGCUGAUCGGCCACACUGGAACUGAGACACGGUCCAGACUCCUACGGGAGGCAGCAGUUAGGAAUAUUGGGCAAUGGACGAAAGUCUGACCCAGCAAUGCCGCGUGUGUGAAGAAGGCCUUCGGGUUGUAAAGCACUGUUGUGAAGGAAGAACAGUAUGUAUAGGAAAUGAUACAUAUGUGACGGUACUUCACCAGAAAGCCACGGCUAACUACGUGCCAGCAGCCGCGGUAAUACGUAGGUGGCAAGCGUUGUCCGGAAUUAUUGGGCGUAAAGGGAGCGUAGGUGGUUUGUUAAGUCUGAUGUGAAAGCCCGCGGCUCAACCGCGGAGGGUCAUUGGAAACUGACAAACUUGAAUACAGCAGAGGUAAGUGGAAUUUCAUGUGUAGCGGUGGAAUGCGUAGAUAUAUGAAGGAACACCAGUGGCGAAGGCGACUUACUGGGCUGAUAUUGACACUGAGGCUCGACAGCGUGGGGAGCAAAUAGGAUUAGAUACCCUAGUAGU
rnacentral:rRNA from 1 species